GUCGGGAAUUUUGGGCAAUGGGCGAAAGCCUGACCCAGCAACGCCGCGUGAGGGAUGAAGUAUUUCGGUAUGUAAACCUCGAAAGAAUGGGAAGAAUAAAUGACGGUACCAUUUAUAAGCUCCGGCUAACUACGUGCCAGCAGCCGCGGUAAUACGUAGGGAGCAAGCGUUGUUCGGAUUUACUGGGCGUAAAGGGCGCGUAGGCGGCGCGGUAAGUCACUUGUGAAAUCUCUGAGCUUAACUCAGAACGGCCAAGUGAUACUGCUGUGCUAGAGUGCGGAAGAGGCAACCGGAAUUCUUGGUGUAGCGGUGAAAUGCGUAGAUAUCAAGAGGAACACCUGAGGCGAAGGCGGGUUGCUGGGCCGACACUGACGCUGAUGCGCGAAAGCCAGGGGAGCAAACGGGAUUAGAAACCCUAGUAGUCC
rnacentral:rRNA from 1 species